CCCCUCAGGCCACCAGAGCCCGG
rnacentral:miRNA from 1 species